rnacentral:rRNA from 1 species
UACGAACUGUGCGAACGUUAUUCGGAAUCACUGGGCUUACAGGGUGCGUAGGCGGCCUUCCAAGUCAGGUGUGAAAUCCCCCAGCUCAACUGGGGAACAGCGCUUGAAACUGGUUGGCUUGAGUCAGCUAGAGGUGCACGGAACUUCGGUGGAGCGGUGAAAUGUGUUGAUAUCGGAAGGAACACCAGAGGCGAAAGCGGUGCACUGGAGCUGGUCUGACGCUGAGGCACGAAAGCCAGG